UACGUAGGACCCAAGCGUUAUCCGGAGUGACUGGGCGUAAAGAGUUGCGUAGGUGGCUUGUAAAGUGAAUAGUGAAAUCUGGCGGCUCAACCGUACAGGCUAUUAUUCAAACUCACAAGCUCGAGAAUGGUAGAGGUAACUGGAAUUUCUAGUGUAGGAGUGAAAUCCGUAGAUAUUAGAAGGAACACCAAUGGCGUAGGCAGGUUACUGGACCAUUUCUGACACUGAGGCACGAAAGCGUGGGGAGCGAACCGG
rnacentral:rRNA from 1 species